rnacentral:lncRNA from 1 species
CUCCUCCCACUGGGGAACGGCCGCACGAAGCAAAUGUCAACUGACUCACGGCAGGGACGGUUGGACAUGAAAGAGUGUGCAGUGAUCCCAUCAGCAAACUUUUGUGCCUAAAAUUAUUCAUUCCAGGGGGAAGGAGUGCGUAUGAGAGCACAAGCUGUUUAGGGACCCUCGGCAGAACCGAUGAGUACAGACAGUCAUGACUACCUGUCAUCCAACAUAAAGACUUCUCAGGACGCAUGCCCUCCAUACUGGAGUAGGCAAGACCUGCAGAUUGUCUUUCAUGGAAACUGGUGACCAGCAGGAGGCUCUGUGGAUUCACGUGGCAGGCUGGGAAGUUGGAGACUAUAGUUGGUUGUGCUGUACUCCUGGCAUCCACAGGGCUGGAGACAGCAAUGCUGGCCAGGUUGGGCAGUGGAAAGUGCUGGUCACCCAGGAGAUGGAGCUGUAUGAGCUUUCAGUCAAGGAACACAGCCAUUAACCCUGAUGUGUUCAAGUGAGAAGGACAAGAAACUUAAGAAGUCUGUGAGACUGGAAGGAAGAAGUUGAAUGAGAAGCAGAGAGCAGGAGACCAGGAGUAGAGGAUGGAGCGAAGGAGGAAGAAAGAGCGUUUGCUGAAGGGGAGCACAGGUCUGAUCAUCUGGCCCAGGCCUGUGGUUCCUAACGCAUGGGUCUACGUUCACUCUGGUGCAGCACCACAGUUGUGGCCAGAAGAAGCAGUGUGCACAACUUGUUGUUACCUGGCAGACACCUCCAUGAGCUAUCACACAUCCUCUGUACACCGGAUCUACAGAACGUGAGUAAUUAGCUCCCCAUUCAUUAACAUCAUUGUUCUCAGUGCACCAGUGCAUGGACAGAGAAGCUGUACACAUAACCAUCAUCCUAUGAAGACAGCCAACCUCACUCUGCAGUUCAGGUGAGAGAAAUACAUUUCCCAUCCACCUCAUUAUCCUCCCAUGCCAUGGCACCUGUGGCACUUGGCUCAAACAGGUGGGGCGUGCAGUGA